GGGGGCGCCUUGACUAGACAGAGGUUCGAACCAAGAAUGCAAGCCGAGUGCAGGCAACUCGUAAACCUGCAAACACAAAGUGCCAAUUCAUUUGCACAACCCGCGUUGGCUUACGCUUAAUGCGGCGCUCGCUUCAGUAAUUCUCGAUAGCUAAAACGAGUGUCAUUCAUCGAGAUAGACAAUUAAUCCGCCUGGCUCGGAUUAACCGUCAAAAAAGAUCGGCCAGAAAUUUAAAGUGAAGACCUGCCCAGUAGAUCUUCGCUUUAUAGGAUACUGGGCUACGCUUGUAGAUUUUCUUCGGCAAAAACUUUUGGACGGGAGCUCAACCUCCCCGCCUCCACCC
rnacentral:tmRNA from 1 species